rnacentral:misc_RNA from 1 species
AAAUGACCCUUCCAUGUUCGAGAAUAAGCAGCAGCUUCCUUAGCUUGGCGAAGCUCAUAAAUUUCCAAGAACAACUGCUUUGAUAGCUCCUCUAAGGCCUGAACCUCGUUUUCCAUGUUUCUAAUAUCUUGUUCCUUUUGGUCAUCCUGAACGGAUCGUACAACUGUUCCCACAAUGCGCUUAAAGAAGGAACUGGAUUUUGUUUUCUCUUCUGAA